GCGGACGGGUGAGUAAUGCCUGGGAAAUUGCCCUGAUGUGGGGGAUAACUAUUGGAAACGAUAGCUAAUACCGCAUAANGUCUACGGACCAAAGAGGGGGACCUUCGGGCCUCUCGCUUCAGGAUAUGCCCAGGUGGGAUUAGCUAGUUGGUGAGGUAAUGGCUCACCAAGGCGACGAUCCCUAGCUGGUCUGAGAGGAUGAUCANCCACACUGGAACUGANACNCGGUCCAGACUCCUACGGGAGGCAGCAGUGGGGAAUAUUGCACAAUGGGCGCAAGCCUGAUGCAGCCAUGCCGCGUGUAUGAAGAAGGCCUUCGGGUUGUAAAGUACUUUCAGUCGUGAGGAAGGCAAUA
rnacentral:rRNA from 1 species